GAGCGGUCGAGGAAGACGAGGAGCCCGGCGCAGGAAGGGACCCAGGCUGGAUGCCCUGAGUAAGCUCCUCCAUGACAAGGUCAUCACGGACCUGCAGGAAAGUGGGGAAGGGCCGCUGCCGAGUGAUCCAGGUGCGGAGGUGGGCGUAGCGCUCGUUGAGGCCGCGAAGAACGUUGAGAACCAAGAUCCGGUCCUCCACGGCCCAGCCAAGGUCACCGAGGGAGUCCGCCAUGGUCUUCAUCUUCCGGCAGAACUCGCCAACGGAGAGGUCGCCCUGGACGAAAGUGCGGAAGCUCGCGUCGAGACGAAGGGCCCGGGCUUCGGCGUUGCCCAGGAACUGGC
rnacentral:lncRNA from 1 species